CCUACGGGAGGCAGCAGUGAGGAAUUUUCUGCAAUGGGCGAAAGCCUGACAGAGCAAUACCGCGUGAGGGAUGAAGGCCUACGGGUUGUAAACCUCUUUUCUCAAGGAGGAAGAACUGACGUUACUUGAGGAAUAAGCAUCGGCUAACCCUGUGCCAGCAGCCGCGGUAAUACAGGGGAUGCAAGUGUUAUCCGGAAUUAUUGGGCGUAAAGCGUCUGCAGGUUGAUAUUUAAGUCUUUUGUUAAACCUCCAGGCUUAACCUGGAAUCUGCAAAAGAAACUAUAUAUCUUGAGUAUGGUAGAGGUAAAGGGAAUUUCCAGUGGAGCGGUGAAAUGCGUAGAUAUUGGAAGGAACACCGAGAGCGAAGGCACUUUACUGGGCCAUUACUGACACUCAGAGACGAAAGCUAGGGGAGCAAACAGGAUUAGAUACCCUGGUAGUCCUAGCUGUAAACGAUGGAUACAGAUGUUGUUUAUUUUUUAAUAAGUCUAGUAGUCGUAGUACUACGUACGUUAAGUACGUACCGUCCGUCGGUAGUAGUGUCGUCGCAGAGUAGAACGUACGAAGAAGUUAGACGACGUAGAGACGAGACCGACGACGACGACGAGGGAGGUAGG
rnacentral:rRNA from 1 species